AAAGAGGGCCCUGAAGGGGUAAAAUGGGAACUGGGAUUGAUCUAUUUUAGACUGGGAAAGUGGGAUUUGGGUUGCUGGGACUGGGAUUUGGCCACUGGGAAUGGGAAAUGAAGUCCUCAAAAAUGGGAAUGGGAUUGAGGUAAGGGGCGGACCAUUAGAAAUCCCGGGAGGGGGGGUGAAAAUUCCCCCAAAAAAAUUCGUGCAAAGGAAAAUGUCUGGAAAAAAAAUUCGUGCAGCCAUUACGUCAGAGAAAAAAAAUUCGUGCAAGCAAACAGAGAAGUACAAAUAGUCUUGAAAAAAAAUUCGUGCAGAGGUUAAAUGCAUUAAAAAAAAUUCCUGCAGAGACACGAGACGGAAAAAAAAAUUCGUGCUGCAAAGAUUUUAUACCCCCCCCCCCCCCCCC